rnacentral:rRNA from 1 species
UAGGUGACAAGCGUUGUCCGGAUUUACUGGGCGUAAAGAGCGAGCAGGCGGUCGAUCAAGUCGAGUGUGAAAGCCCCCGGCUCAACUGGGGAGGGUCAUUCGAUACUGAUCGACUCGAAGGCAGGAGAGGGUAGUGGAAUUCCCGGUGUAGUGGUGAAAUGCGUAGAUAUCGGGAGGAACACCAGUGGCGAAGGCGACUACCUGGCCUGUUCUUGACGCUGAGGCGCGAAAGCUAGGGGAGCAAACGGG